UACAGAGGGUGCGAGCGUUGUUCGGAAUUAUUGGGCGUAAAGGGCGCGUAGGCGGUCGGGUAAGUCGGAUGUGAAAUCUCAGGGCUCAACCCUGAAACUGCAUUCGAUACUGCCUGGCUAGGGUACUGGAGAGGAGACUGGAAUUUACGGUGUAGCAGUGAAAUGCGUAGAUAUCGUAAGGAAGACCAGUGGCGAAGGCGAGUCUCUGGACAGUUACCGACGCUGAGGCACGAAGGUCAGGGGAGCAAACGGG
rnacentral:rRNA from 1 species